rnacentral:lncRNA from 1 species
AGAAUUCAUGGAAUCUCUCCUUUCUCCGUGAGGUAUAUGAUGCACAAAAGGAUUAGGUGUUGGGCGGCAUAUGUGUUAGAGUCCAAGGGAGAUUGGACUCUUAUCUCCUUAUCCCCUCUCCUAUUUAAAUGUAGGAUCAAUAUGGGGUGGGACCAACUUGAUGGUGAUCAGCUUUGGAUGCCAAAAGGAUAAGAAGCCAUGCAUGAAAAAUAGAGG